GACCAGACUCCUACGGGAGGCAGCAGUGGGGGAUAUUGCACAAUGGGGGGAACCCUGAUGCAGCGACGCCGCGUGGGUGAAGAAGUAUUUCGGUAUGUAAAGCCCUAUCGGCAGGGAAGAAAUUGGACGGUACCUGACUAAGAAGCCCCGGCUAACUACGUGCCAGCAGCCGCGGGAAUACGUAGGGGGCAAGCGUUAUCCGGAUUCACUGGGUGUAAAGGGGGCGUAGACGGCCAUGCAAGCCUGGAGUGAAAGCCCGGGGCGCAGCCCCGGGACUGCUCUUGGAACUGCGUGGCUGGAGUGCAGGAGGGGCAGGCGGAAUUCCUGGUGUAGCGGUGAAAUGCGUAGAUAUCAGGAGGAACACCGGUGGCGAAGGCGGCCUGCUGGACUGCAACUGACGUUGAGGCCCGAAAGCGUGGGGAGCAAACAGGAUUAGAUACCCGCGUAC
rnacentral:rRNA from 1 species